rnacentral:rRNA from 1 species
UCUCCUGAAGGAACGUUGAAGACGACGCCGUUGAUAGGCCGGGUGUGUAAGCGCAGCGAUGCGUUGAGCUAACCGGUACUAAUGAACCGUGAGGCUUAACCUUACAACGCCGAAG